UUAAGGGACUUGAAUGAAAGAAAAUUUCAAAAUCCAAAAAUUAACCCCUAAAUCCAUAAUCACCCCACUAAAUUAGGGAGAGGGCACCGGCUGAAGAAAAACCCGAGAGAGGGAAAAGGAGUGGCGGAAAGGGGGGAGACUGAGAGCUGAACAAUCAACCAAAUAGAACGCAGACGAGGGGAUUAGAGGCGAUUAGAGGGAGGAAUUUCUCGUCAAAAAUUCGUUGAGAUAGGAAGGAUUCAAAUAAGGACCACCGCUUCAACAGAUACCAAUUUGGAAGCAAGUGUAAGACGAAUUUGAGUUUUAAACACUAAAUUUAAAAUUUGUGCUUUAAUUUCUUGUUUCAGAUAACGAUUGGUGAUGAUUAAAAAUUGGGAGAUAAGAGGACAAAAAGGGACGGUAGUAUGACAGUCGAUCUUUCGUUCUGAAAUAGAUUUAGAGAAUGUUGUAUAGAUGGUAUAUGUAGAAUUGGGAGGUGAAUCUGUUAUGUUUAAAGAAGUGAAUCGGAGAGGGGUUAAUUGAAAUUGUAUUAGUGUGUUAGACCUGUUAUGGAUAGUAUAAGGAAGAUGUUAGAAUAAAUAAAUUAAGGAGAAGUGAGUGAACAAUAGGGGUCUGAAAAAGAAGAAUGCGGACAGAAAUAGACGGGAUGAAAUCAGAGAUAGAGAGUAGAGUAGAAUCUUGGCUUAGGCGAAUGACCAAAGGAAGAGAUAAUAAAGCUGACGGACACGGUAGAGGGAGUGAGUUAAGGAAAAUGGUGUUAGUAGAGGAAGGAUGAACACACUGUAACUGAAAAGAGAAGAAUGAGAUGAGUAGUACAUGGAUAGCAAGUGGGUAAAGCUGGAUAGGGAGAGACCCCAGGUUGUGCACAUAGAAAAUCGAAGAGUGGAAUUAAGGGUUCUGAUCUAGGGGAAGCUCUUGCUAUCACUGAUAAGUUGAGCAUUGAUAAGUUGAGUGGUCCAGGGUGUGUGAGUGGCCAACUAAUGGCCGGAACAUGCAUGGUAAUUGAGUAUUCAUUUGCUGUUAUUUAGUUUCUGGUCUAGAUAUUCCUUUUGGCAUGCUGUGUGCUUGAAGGGGAUGGUGUGAAUGGCCCUAUGAGGGUCGUUUAUUUUGAUCUAGGGGAAGCUCCUGUUGUCGCUAAUAAGUUAAGUGGUCCAUUGGGUGGAGUGGCCAACCGAUGGCCAGAACGUGCUGGGUGAUUGAGUAUUCAUUUGUUGUUAUUUAUUUUCUGGUUUGGAUAUUUCUGUCCACGUGUUGUGUGCUUUGAAUGGGAUGGUGUGAGUGGCCCUAUAAGGGUUGUCUAUCUUGUAUAUGCAUUCUGAUUGUGAAAUAUUUAUGAAAUAAUGAUCUAAACUGUUAAUCUGUCUGACAAAUUCACAUGCAGAUUAUGAAAUAAUUCUGUAUGGGUUUUCAGGUGGGAGAAAAUGAUUAGUUGGGUAUUAUGGUGAAGAAGAGGAUGAAAAUAGAGUUGAGAACGACGAGAAAAAAAAAAAAAAUUAAACCAGAGAGGGAUGAGACUGUAAUGUGAGAAGGGAUAUUACCGAGGGAUCUGAUAAUUAUAGCUUGCAGUGUUAAGAGAAUCCUUUGCUAAAAGCGAAGGAUAGAAAGUACUGAGGUAUAUAUGUGGGAAACUAAGUAAGAGAUGUGAGAGGUCGAGUUCUGGCAACAUGAUAAGGGAAGGGUCAUGGACUGAUUUAAGCAGGAUAGAAGAGUAAUGGGAGAAAACUGGGAAGUUCUGUAAACAGGUUAGAGGAGAAAUUCAUGGGUUAACUUAAGCAGGGAGUGUAGGGGGAAAACUAAGAGGUUCUGUAAUUAAAUCAAAGGGGAACUCAAGGAUAUAAUUACACAGGAGUGUGUUGGAAAGAAUUCUGUGAAAACCAGAAGGUAUACCAGUGGAAAAACUAUGGAUUGUUUGUGGUGGAGAGGGCUGAGAGAGAAUUCUGUAAAUUUCCUGGACGUAUGACGGAAAAAAAAUGGUUGGAUUAGGAGUGCGGGUGUUAAGGGAGAAUCUGGCCUAGGAAUUGCACUAAUUUCAAUACGUUGUUUCAAAUUAUAAAUUUGACUUACUGGGCAUGUGUAGGCUUAUUACUGUUUAUUUACAGAUACAGUGAAGUAGGAACAAUUUUAGGAACCUUCAAUAACGAACCACACCACCUAGAGGACACAAAGAGUGUCAACGGAAGUAGUAUCAGAUAUGACACUUACCCACCACACCUAUACAUGUAGGAUAUAUUUUUCUUUUUCUUUUAUUGUGAUGAACUAUGAGGACCAUGACUUACAUGAGAAUAUAGUGUACAUAGAAGUGGAUAACUUUUAUAAGAUAUAUGGAUGAUUAUAUCUUCGAAUGAGAAGGAUUAUAUUGUGUUGCACUUAAUGAUGAUGUAAAAUGAACAUUCCACAUGGAAAUAUGAGGGUGCUUUGGCCAUUAGGGUACGGGGCGUUAUAAUUGGUAUCAGAGCAAUUUGAUUCUUGAAACUCGAAUCUGAAGUGGGAGCAUUUAAAUUCCUGGAUUAUGAAAAUUGGAAUUAAUUUAUUAAUUCUAUGGUGAAUAAGGUGUGCGAGUU
rnacentral:lncRNA from 1 species